AUCUGAUAGACUGUUGAUUCCUAGCCACGAGGAUAACGCAUCAAAUUUAUUACCGAUCUGAUUAACAUUUACUAAAAUUUAAAUAUUAAAAAUGAAAUAUUUUGCACAAAUAUUGUCUAUAACCGUGUUGAUAAUGAUUAUUUUAUCGUUAACGAUUUGUCAGAAAAAUGCCAGUGAAGAUUUUCCAACAUCAACGACUCGUUAUAAUUAUGCUGUUCCUGCUUAUUUCAUAACCGUACCACAAAGAGAGCAGGAAUGCCCGGAAAAUCAACGAAGGAAUCAACAUGGAAUAUGUCGAUCAGUGGUUUAACCUUAUUCAUAAAGAGCGAUGGAAUUAUAUUCAUCAGAUGAUUACUAAGACAAGAAUGCAAUUGAAGAUAUAAGGAUAAAUUACCAGAAUAUUAUAUGUGUUAACUUUGUUUUUAUCUCAACAAAUGUUUCUGAAAAUUAAUAUAAAAAUAAAUUUACUUUAUACAACGUA